AUUGAAAUGAUUGGAUUUUUUUUUAUUUUUCUUGUAAAAUUCUGCUUCUAAUUUUUUGUUAUAUAUGCUUAUCUAAGCUUAUCGAUCUGUAACCGUAACGUUCUCCUUGAUUUUAAAAUUCUAGAACUGCCAUUGAUCUUUAGAAUUUUGCUAGAAGCGCUUAUGUUUUCGGACACAAAUCGCGGGAAUCCUAGAAAGACUCCCAAAAUAAAAACCCUAGACUUUGAAGAUAUACCAAGAACCUAGAAUCUAGAAAGGCUCUCUUUUGAAAAUUUUAAGAAUCACGCAGAAAAUCUGAUGAUUUUCUGCAAAGCAUAUAGAAGUUUGGAAAACAAAUCCAAAAAUCUUUUUGACUUGAUAUUUUUGGGAUUUUUGUCAUUAUAAGAGUUGGAAUGACUGUCAAGAAUCUCAGUGUUUCCAUAUUAUUGUUAGAAUGCUUCAGGUUUUAGAAAUUCCCAUAAACAUUCUUGGGAUUCCAAUGGGGAUUUUUUUUAUUCUCGUCGGGAUCUUUGAACUUUAUAUUGCUGAGAUUCUAAGAAUUUCCGGGAUUGUUUUGAUACCCGUCGAGAUUGAUGGCCUUGCCCUCAGAAUCUUUAGAAUAUCUUCGGGUUUCUUAAAAUUUCCUUUGAGAAUCUUGUAAUUUUUAAGGCCUGUCUAUAAACAAAGUAAACUCUUAGGGGGAAGGGGGUGUCUGACCAAAGCCUACGAUCCAAACAAAUAUCGAAAAAAGUGUGUAUGCGCAAAACAUUGCAACAAAAAAAGCCUUCAUAGUUUAUGUACAUAGCCCAUCAAGAUUAGUGGAAUGUAUUAUAAUUCUUGGAAUACCCCAAAAAUUUUGGACAUUCUCGUAUGAAUUUUUUUUUUGAUUGUGUGUCCUGUCCUUGGUUUCUUUGGAUUCCUGAAAUGAACAUAGAGAUAGUUAGCACUCCCGUCUGAAUUGUAUUAUUUAGCCUUUUUCUUGAGAUUUUCGUUAGGUUCUCUGGAUUACAUGUCAAGAUUCUCCUGAUUCUGAUGGAAUUUCUUGGAAUUCAUUCAAGAUUUAAGGAAUCACGUCAUUUUUUUUUAGAAUACCAUCAAGAUUCUUUGAAGUCGCUCCAGAUUGUUAUAAUCCCGUUUUGGGGUUUCGGAAUUUUCGGUCUCUCAUCGAGAUUAUUCGAAUAUUUGAUAAUGAAUUUCCCGUUUCUUGGGUUUUUCUUCUAGAUUGUUAUAAUUCCUGUCAAAUUUUUUUGUAUGGGAUCCCGUCGGAAUCCUCGAGUAUCCGGUUUCCAUGAUAUUUUCGUCAGCGUUACUUUAAUUCCCGUCAAGAUUAUUGGAAUUCUUUGGCGUUUUUUUUGGAUUUCAAACUGGCGUUGUUUCGGAUUCUCAAUGGGACGCUUGAGAUUCGCUUCGGUAUUUUUGAAUUCUCUUUUUUUUAUUGGGAUUAAUAUUUUCGACAUUUUUGUCUUAAUACUUGACUUACCUUUUUAUAGAAAUUUACUUGGGAGUUAUUGAUCAGAUUCAAUCGUGAUUUUGGUCGGAAUACCCCGAGUUCCAAACCAGAUUCAUGAGAAGGUGCUCAGCGUUCCCGUCAGUAAGUAUGGUUAUCAUUUCCAUCAGGAUUAAUUGAAUUGCUGUCAAUAUUCUCAUAAGGUUGCGUUGCAAUUCUUGAAUCCAGAUUUUUUCGAGUAUUUCGGAGUGCCUGGCAAUUUUUUUGGGAUUCUUUCGAUUUUCAUCGAUACUUUUAGAAAUUCCCGGAAAUUCGGGAUUUGGUUUUUAACCCCAUUCCCGGCACUACAGGUAAACAAAAUUGUGUAUUACCUAAAUUCACAACGAACCGACCAUUUUCGUCUACUUUUUCCAUCUGUAUCAGAUCUUAUAUGAACUUGUUGUUAACAGCGAUUGUUGUGAAGAUUUUCUGCCGGAAAGUUGAUUUAGAACGAGUUUACUGCACCUAGCCCUGCACCAAUUCUCGGAACCAAUUCGGCACCCAUCUUUAUGCUGACGAAGUGCACUCGGAUGCGUGUAAAAAUUGUUUUUAACACUUGUGCGGCUUCAGAGUGAACGUGUAGCUCAUUGACUGUGGAUCCCGUUGCGGAAAUGUUGCGGGAGAUGAUUACCCACUGGAAUUCUUUAGCUGUCAUUAAGGUCAAAUUGCUGUUCAUAUCCUCAUUACAUUGCGAUGAAUUUUCGUUGAAAUCCUUCUUCGUUCUGAUGUUUUCCAAGAUUCUCGGAAUAUCUGUCAUAAUUUUUGGGAAUUUUCGGAUUUUUAUCGGGAUUUUAGAGUAUUUCAGGAACGAUCAGAAUUUCCUUCCGGAUUCAUGUGGUGUCUUCGGGAUUCUAGUAGUCCUGCCUGAGUUCUUGCUUCUACUCCAAGCUGAACUCUUACUUUGAAAAUUUCAGAAAAAUAUUUUUGAAGCCAUAGGAAAACUUAAAAUUCAUUUUUUUUUGGGAUUUCGACGUGGUUCUUAAAAUUCUUCUUAAGAUUCAUCUUGUUAAGAAGAAGAGAUCCUUAUUUGAACUCCUGUGUGAAUGCUUGAAAUUUCCUUACGGAUUCCCAGAGAAAAUACUUACUUUUUUCUUUUUCUAGACUAUUUGUCGAUAUUUUUGGAAUAUGUAUCAAAAUAUUUAGCUUUCCUUAAACAAUGUUGGGAUUCAGGAUUUCCUUCGGUACUCGCGGCAUUCUGGUAAGAAAAUUUCUCAAAAUUGCAAAAUUUUCGUUAAGAUUCUUAGUACUUUUUAGUACUUAGAUUCCCGUUGAAUUUCUUUGAAUUUCUUAAGAUUGCUAACGAAGAUUUUGAAAUUUCCAUCGAGAUUCUCAGAAAUAAGGUCGAAGUUUAUUGAAAUUUGUGUCAUUGUGCAUUUUGUACAAUCACGUUUGUACUCUGGUGUUCCAGGCCAAACCAAAUGACUUUCAUCUCUUUACUCUAAGGUCUUUUUACACGGGGGAUAUGUACCGUUUAAAAAACCGAACCUCCAAGAACUUCUACACACAAAAAAAUCCAUUCCGAUAUACGUGAACUCUCACUCAUGGCAACGGAAACAAACGGGAACUAUACAUAGCAACGAUAACAACAAUAAGAAAUGUACACCGUGAACUAGAUAUCACGGUUUCUUGAACGCCCAUAUUGACAGCUGGAACUAGUUCCAGUUCACGGUGUAUAUUUGCUUGUUCUCAUAUUUGCGUUUGUUUGUGCACGUUUAUCAGAACAGAUUUUUUUGCGUGUACGAGCAAGAUCUUUAAGCACAAUCAAUGGAUUGUUGUUACAUUACUGAUGCGGUGUUACAUCCUAUAGGUCCAUAGAGCAUUGUUCUGUAAAGAACUUUUUUCCAAAUAUUUCCCCAGAACUUCCGUGAAUAAAGGCCAGUACCACAUUUUAUCGAAUAAGCAUGAGAAACUUGAAAUUCCAAGUUUUAUGUAACUAGAUUUCCAAGUUUCAACGAAAACUGCAUACUCACGUCAUUAAACGUCAUAAGGCAUUUUAUGAGACGUUUCAAAUCAGCUAUUUUUUUGAAUGUUUGCCAGUUUUGAAGUCCAACCGGUGGGCCCAUUUAUUUACAUUUUCGCUAGCAUAACAUGUGAUACAGGCCCAUCCAAUAAACGGGGUUCAUUUAUCUGCAAAAAUGUGUCAAUCCGCCCACUAUAAUUAAUAUCCGUAGACCGUGGGGAUGUUUUUUUCAUCUGCUAGUGACAUCAUGCAGCUCGGGGAAUUGAUACAUGCCACAUUAGAAACCGAAACAUCUUUGCCAGCAAAAAUCUGAUUGGCGCUUACCACAUGUUAUGCUACUUUUCGCGAUAACAAAAACAUCAAAUGUAAACAAUAACAAUGAGCGGCCCACCAGUAGAACGUCUCGUAAAAUAGCUUAUCAAUUCUCCUCCAAUAUUGAAACACCCAAGCCAAACGAUCGUUUAGAAACAGCAUUUAGUGCGACCCUCUUGCUUGCUGGGAUACUCCGGUGCCGCGGAUCGAUUUCGAUGAACGAAUUUCGUUAGACAAGCGCCCUGUGAAAUUGUGCGUGUGUGUGUACGGAAACAAAAACAAACGAAAAACACACACCUAAAUAAAACAACAA